AUUGAACGCUGGCGGCAUGCUUUACACAUGCAAGUCGAACGGCAGCACGGGUGCUUGCACCUGGUGGCGAGUGGCGAACGGGUGAGUAAUGCAUCGGAACGUGCCCAUGAGUGGGGGAUAGCCCGGCGAAAGCCGGAUUAAUACCGCAUACGCCCUUAGGGGGAAAGCGGGGGAUCUUCGGACCUCGCGCUAUUGGAGCGGCCGAUGUCGGAUUAGCUAGUAGGUGAGGUAAAGGCUCACCUAGGCGACGAUCCGUAGCUGGUCUGAGAGGAUGAUCAGCCACACUGGGACUGAGACACGGCCCAGACUCCUACGGGAGGCAGCAGUGGGGAAUUUUGGACAAUGGGCGCAAGCCUGAUCCAGCCAUGCCGCGUGAGUGAAGAAGGCCUUCGGUUGUAAG
rnacentral:rRNA from 1 species